rnacentral:lncRNA from 1 species
CAUCCACUCUGGUCUGCAUCCUCUUGACCGCGUCUGAGUCUCCUUUGGGGCUGGAUGUCUGCUUCAGCAUUAGGAAAUGGACACAUCUAUAGAAUCUCUCAUGGCAACACACCAAGUAUUGUAAACUUCGUCCUUUCAACAAGUUAUAUUACUAAAAAUCGACAAACUGAACUCACAUGAAUGUGUACUUACAGAGUUGUGGCUCCUGAUUCUAUUUAAGGUAUGUUAAAGUAAAAGCAGUUAGAAUAUGGAAUAUUUUUUUCCCUUGACUAUGCCAAAGAAAUAUUGGUGAGGAAUGUUGUGGCUUAUUUUUUGUUCUUUCUACAUUUUAUUUUGUAAAAAUUUAAAUAUUUAAUCAUGCUCUUCAGUCCUUUACCCAUUUUAAGUCUUUUAGUAAGGUUUUAUAACUUUAAACAUACAGAUACUGCAUAUUAUGUAUUAGGUUUAUUUUAACAUUUAACAGAGAUUUGUGACUGACUAUUAUGAGUAUGAAUAUAUAAUAAAUUAUUACAAAUUCUAAUCAGUUACGCUGAUGUGGAAUAUUUUCAAGUGUUGAUCUUGUACCCAGUUAUCUUAUCCAAUAAUCUAUACUUUCAGUGAGCUCUAAUUGAUUUCUUGUAAGAUAAUAUUAUAAAAUGACAAAUUUGUAACCCUUCCAAGUCACUGAUUUCCAAUAUUUAUAUCUCCUUUUAUUUUUAAUUUUUCUUGUUCUUCAAAACUGUUUAAGACUUGGCGUACAUUUUAAAUAAAUAUGGUGAUAAUGAAUGGAG